CAGAAUCAACGCUGGCGGCGUGCCUAACACAUGCAAGUCGUACGCGAAAGUCCCGCAAGGGAUGAGUAGAGUGGCAAACGGGUGAGUAACACGUGGGUGACCUGCCUUCGAGUGGGGGAUAACGUCCCGAAAGGGACGCUAAUACCGCAUGACAUCCUGCUUUUAGAAAAGCGGAGAUUAAAGCCGGGGAUCGCAAGACCUGGCGCUUGAAGAGGGGCCCGCGCCUGAUUAGCUAGUUGGUAGGGUAAUGGCCUACCAAGGCUACGAUCAGUAGCCGGCCUGAGAGGGCGACGGCCACGACGUGGGACUGAGACACGGCCCAGACU
rnacentral:rRNA from 1 species